rnacentral:rRNA from 1 species
ACGGAAGGCAGCAGUGGGGAAUAUUGCACAAUGGGCGCAAGCCUGAUGCAGCGACGCCGCGUGAGCGAAGAAGUAUUUCGGUAUGUAAAGCUCUAUCAGCAGGGAAGAAAAUGACGGUACCUGACUAAGAAGCCCCGGCUACUACGUGCCAGCAGCCGCGGUAAUACGUAGGGGGCAAGCGUUAUCCGGAUUUACUGGGUGUAAAGGGAGCGUAGACGGCGCUGCAAGUCAGAUGUGAAAGGCUGGGGCUUAACCCCGGGACUGCAUUUGAAACUGCAGUGCUCGAGUGCCGGAGAGGUAAGCGGAAUUCCUAGUGUAGCGGUGAAAUGCGUAGAUAUUAGGAGGAACACCAGUGGCGAAGGCGGCUUACUGGACGGUAACUGACGUUGAGGCUCGAAAGCGUGGGGAGCAAACAGGAUUAGAUACCCUGGUA